rnacentral:lncRNA from 1 species
UAAUCAAACUUUUAUACCGAAGAUUCAUUAAAAUACUACAAAACAUCAACUAUGCAUAGAAAUAUCAAAAUUACAUCAGAAACUAAAGAUUUCCAAAACAAUCCAAAUGACAAGUUCAAUUGAUUGGGUCACCACUUUAACAUGAUAACAAUCAAUUGAAAAUUUUAACUGUGCAACUAAUAUAACCUACUUGUGCAAACAAGGAAGCACAAGAGGAUUGCAAUGAGAUUUUUCUUUUUUGUUCUUGUGUAUCCAUAACCAACACAAGCAGAGAAAAUGUAAUGGGAAUACAUUACAGAAUAGUUCAAUUUAAAAAUACAUGACUCUUCUAUAAAUUAGCAGGAAGCAACAUCUAUAAUGCACUUCUUCUCAUAAAGAAGUAGGGCACGUCAGGCACUGUGCUUUCAGCCAACGAGCUGUAAACAAUUUCUAUCUUCAUCUCAUGAUAC